rnacentral:hammerhead_ribozyme from 1 species
GCACUGCUGAAGAGUCCCAUACUAAGAUGAGACGGCCGUCCAGUAC